UACACGACCGUACCGCAAACCGACACUGGUGCGCGAGAUGAGUAUUCUAAGGCGCUUGAGAGAACUCAGGAGAAGGAACUCGGCAAAUUGACACCGUAACUUCGGAAGAAGGUGUGCCUUUAGUAGGUGAACCUGUACAAGGGGAGCCCAAUGAGGUUGCAAAAAAUCGGUGGCUGCGACUGUUUAAUAAAAACGCAGCACUCUGCAAACACGAAAGUGGACGUAUAGGGUGUGACGCCUGCCCGGUGCUGGAAGAUUAAAUGAUGGGGUGCAAGCUCUUGAUUGAAGUCCCAGUAAACGGCGGCCGUAACGAUAACGGUCCUAAGGUAGCGAAAUUCCUUGUCGGGUAAGUUCCGACCUGCACGAAUGGCGUAACGAUGGCCACACUGUCUCCUCCUGAGACUCAGCGAAGUUGAAAUGUUUGUGAUGAUGCAAUCUCCCCGCGGAAAGACGGAAAGACCCCAUGAACCUUUACUGUAGCUUUGUAUUGGACUUUGAACAGAUCUGUGUAGGAUAGGUGGGAGGCUUUGAAGUGUGGUCGCUAGAUCGCAUGGAGCCAACGUUGAAAUACCACCCUGGUGUGUUUGAGGUUCUAACCUAGGCCCGUAAUCCGGGUCGGGGACAGUGCAUGGUAGGCAGUUUGACUGGGGCGGUCUCCUCCCAAAGCGUAACGGAGGAGUUCGAAGGUACGCUAGGUACGGUCGGACAUCGUGCUAAUAGUGCAAUGGCAUAAGCGUGCUUAACUGCGAGACUGACAAGUCGAGCAGAUGCGAAAGCAGGACAUAGUGAUCCGGUGGUUCUGUAUGGAAGGGCCAUCGCUCAACGGAUAAAAGGUACUCUGGGGAUAACAGGCUGAUACCGCCCAAGAGUUCAUAUCGACGGCGGUGUUUGGCACCUCGAUGUCGGCUCAUCUCAUCCUGGGGCUGUAGCCGGUCCCAAGGGUAUGGCUGUUCGCCAUUUAAAGAGGUACGUGAGCUGGGUUUAAAACGUCGUGAGACAGUUUGGUCCCUAUCUUCCGUGGGCGCUGCAGAUUUGAGGAAGCCUGCUCCUAGUACGAGAGGACCGGAGUGGACACACCUCUGGUGUAUCGGUUGUCACGCCAGUGGCAUUGCCGAGUAGCUAUGUGUGGAAGAGAUAACCGCUGAAAGCAUCUAAGCGGGAAACUCGUUUCAAGAUGAGAUCUGCCGGGGCCUUGAGCCCCCUAAAGAGUCGUUCAAGACCAGGACGUUGAUAGGUCGGGUGUGGAAGCGCAGUAAUGCGUUAAGCUAACCGAUACUAAUUGCUCGUGCGGCUUGACCU
rnacentral:rRNA from 1 species